rnacentral:rRNA from 1 species
AGAAUGAACGCUGGCGGCGUGCUUUACACAUGCAAGUCGAGCGAGGCGGGGAGCAAUCCCUAGUCGAGCGGCGAACGGGUGAGUAACGCGUGGAUGACCUGCCUUGAGGUGGGGGAUAACUCGGGGAAACUCGAGCUAAUACCGCAUAGGAUCGUGAGAUCAAAGGGGCGCAAGUCCCGCCACAAGAGGGGUCCGCGUACGAUUAGCUAGUUGGUAGGGUAAUGGCCUACCAAGGCGACGAUCGUUAGCCGGCCUGAGAGGGUGAUCGGCCACACUGGAACUGAGACACGGUCCAGACUCCUACGGGAGGCAGCAGUGGGGAAUUUGGCGCAAUGGGCGAAAGCCUGACGCAGCAACGCCGCGUGGAGGAUGAAGGUCUUUGGAUCGUAAACUCCUGUCAGCAGGAAAAGGCACCUGGCCACACCAGGUGAUUGAUUGUACCUGCAGAGGAACGCCCCGGCUAACGUCUGUCGCCAGCAGCCGCGGUAAUCGUGA